GGCCGCGGGUACCGCCCCCGGCGUCGGCGCGCCGCGGCCAAUGGCGGUAGCGCGGAACGGCGCCCGGCGCGUGCUGCUGAUGCCUUCUCCAGACGAGACGCCCAAACAAGGCAGCUACCACCGGAACAGAGCAAGACAACUUGUUUAUCAGACAGAGGAAUGCUCCUCAGCAGUGCAGGGCAGGAGGAAGAGGGGGCUGCUGUCUCCAGGCCCAGCGUAGGCAGUUCAGAGAUGGCCUGCAUUGUUCUACAUCAGGAUAACGAGGCGCUUCCGCAGCCCCUUUCCUGUGGGAAUCCCAACAGGUUGUUGUCCUCCCCCUGCAGGAGGGGAAGUGUGGCACCAGGGGGGUGAAAUGUCCCAUCUGACAGAUGUCUGCACUAAGUAGUACGUUCUUCUCUCCGCCUUCGGUGCUUUUCCUAGUCUUGAGCACCAGCCUUCACCUCUUCAGCCUUCCCUCCCACGGUAGAUGCAAGCAAUGUGCGAGAUAUCUCCUAAGAAUGGAGAAAUGAGACAGCUCAACGCUGCGAUUUAGUAACAGAAGCAAAAGGGGACGUUAAUGGAAAACGAUUGCAGCUCUGAGUAAGACCCAAGAUAGGAAUUUCCCUUCUCUGUAAGAAAUCAGCUCAGAUUCUGCUGAUUGGGAUGCUCGGGAAAGGAUAUGACUAGCUCAGUGGCAGGGGCUCUCUUCCUAUAAACUGCAGAGCAAGCCAGGAUAACCAACUUGCACUUCGGCUUUGUCAGACAGACCUCGCCUUCCUUCCACAGUGAGUCCUACAGGGAGGUGAACCCAGCCAGACUGAUUCACUGAGCCCUUCCAGGUGUGUGCUCAGCCAUCCACUGGCACGAGCACUGGCGAGGGCAAAGCAAGGGCCAGGCUGGUGCACAACACCAUGCUUUUUAGGACCCUGUUCCUGCAGGUCUCUAUCCACAGAGAGUAAGGCUUGAGAAGGAAGGAAGGUGCAGGUGCACGCCUGGACCUCAUCCCAGUCUGGCUUUGGGCGUCGAUGGAGUGACUGCUGUCAGUUGUGAGGGUCACUUCUGCACACAUACAGCCCCAGCUACCAAUUCCUGAGCACCUAAAUGAGAGAACCAUGCUCUCGCAGUUUGCUGGCAAGAUAUAGCCAGCAAAUUCUGGCAGUGAAUGUGGAUGCUGGUAUAUAAAGAGAGGAUUCUGCCAAUGGGACUAAAGGGUGUUGGUGCUUUUUCCAGUGCAGGUUAUUUGGCUUCGAGUACUAGUAAAAGUUGCACUAAUAAAAUGCCUCUAUUGUGUGCAGACUCUAUCUACAGUGGGAGUGUUUGCUGGUAUCACCAGAUCCUAUAUCAGUAACUUUUUAAGGGCAGACAAGGCCACAGGAGGAGGGGGUAGGGGGGCAGCACCAGGGGCUGCUGAGGCUGAGGGGAGGACUUCUGCAUGACAGGGAUCAGUAUUGCCCCUGCAAAACACUAAAAAUGCCUCAAAGCAAAGGGCCUGCCACCUGUGCUUGGUCCAGGGCUUUGUGUGGCUAGCUUUGUGGGUCUAUCAGGACAGAGAACCCUUCCAAAACACACAGUUAGGGAACAACGAGUGCAACUAAAGGGGCCUGCAUCAGCUUUUCCACCACCCAGACCACUCACGUACUCUCCUUUGUUUCCAGGAAAUGUGAUUUCCACUCUUCCCCAGAGCUGCUGCUGGGCUCCCUGUCUCAGCCACUGUCACAAGACACACAGCAGAGUUUGUGAGAUCACUGUGGUCUGAACGGGGCUGCCUGUGCAAAACAUUUGGCUCCCAUCACCCACAGCGGGCCCAAGAGGCAGAGGGCUGUUUGUGCCACGCUCCGCAUGAAAAGCACUUUCUGUGGGCUGGAGCAGAUCACGCAGUAAGAGAGGACUUUGCCCUUUAACACUUUGCUUUCCUCUUCCCAGGCCAGCACCAGCAGUAGGACACGCAGGAGCUGUUUUGCAUACUGUAACUAAUGCCCCUGAACGCCCCUUUGUCCAUCUUGCGUCACCUGCAGUCUGAUCCCUGUCAGCUCAUGAGCACACAGAGCCUUCAAAGUUGUCUGCCAGCCGUACAGGAUGCAUUCUUAUUUCUCAGCUUUGAGCGUGUCCCAGGACUGGGACAGAGCCAGAUCACUUGCCCUUUUAUCACUCCUGCCCCCGGGAUGGCCUAAGGAGAAGGGAAGAGUGCUCUGCACUGUGUGACACAGAAGGAAGUGUAGAGCCCAGCUUUGCCUUGGCCACCGCCCCGGUGAGCAAGCAGCACAGCACCACCAGCUUGUUCGUCCAGCAACGGAGACAGGUGAUACCAAGUCCUACCUCUGAGUCAGCAAGGAGCAUGCAGUGAAGAUACAGCCUUUUCCAGUAACUGGGAUUUUGCCUCACCUGCUGAUCAGCUGCCUUGUCACAAGAGGAAGUCCUCUGAUAUCAGCGUCUUGGAAUUUUUUAAUUAAGCUUUGUCCUGGCUCCGUGGCUUUCCUUUGACUUCUCUGCCCUGGUCGGCUCACCCAGCUGCAAAGUACUUUCUACUGCUGAUGUCCUCCCAUUUGCAGGCUCCCAGUCACAGCUUCUGCUUACGCCUUAGGCUUGGCUGCUGAGGAGUCUCUUUCUCACUGCCACAGCUCUAGCAUGGUCCAAGCACAGUAUAAAGCAUCACAAAGCAGCAGGGAAGGCUACGAGCAUAUUCUGAAAUCCACAGAGGCCCCUAAAUCAAUAAGUGUAUCCAUCUGUCCCCAGUGAAUUCAAGCUUUUCAAGUUACGGCUUCGAUUACUGUAAUUCCAAAAGAUUGCAGCGGGCAGAGGAGUAUGCUUCUCUUUUUUCUAUUUUUAUGAGCAUAUGAUAGCACUCUGAUAUGAAAUUACAUGUUUUACUGUUUCCCUUGGUAUGUACAGCUGGACACAAAGCCACCCGAGGUCAGCGGAAAGAUUGCCACCAACCUCAGAGCCUCUGGCUUAGACCCAUAAUUACUUUCUUCUGUGGUUUGUUCCAGUUCUGCACCCUUACGUGUCGAAACACAGGAAAACCCAUCUGUAAAGCCACAGGGGAUGAUACCAUGUUUAACUAGUUGCAGAAAGCUUUGUAGAUUUAAAAUCUAUAGCAUCGUUUUAAUUCUUGUUCUUCUGCAGCCCUUGAAACUUCCACCCACUUUGGUUGUUUGUGAGGACAGGCAGUAUCUCCAGGCUAUGGGCUGGGAUCAUUAUAGCUCUCGGUAGUGUGUGUGUGUGGAGUGAUUGACGCAGAUGUUUUUACAAUGGAUGCUUUAUAAAACAGCAAAAUGAAUUUCCAAUUCUCUAAGCAGGCAGCGUCGUUUGCACGAAGGCCACUUUCCAAAACACCCAUCCUCAAUCCUCCCCUUUCUGCCCAGUGUUUAUCUGUACGUCCGUCUCCCCCCGAGGCAUCAGCAGGCUGUGACAGUGCUGUUUCUCACGCACACACCCAAAACAAGGCCCUGAGCCGAUGGACUCAAGCGUCACCACAACAGCAGCAGCUUCUUUGCAGCCAGCACGCAUCCCGCUCACUGACCACCCAAAGCCUCCUCCUCCUGGGGAGGCAGGGCACGCUAACUCAGGUAACCAACACAGCGUGGGAGCGGUACAAGGUGUCACGUCGGGGCCAUCGCAGUGGUGACCGUAAGACGGUGCAGUCUGGGACAGGCGCCUUCCCUGUGUCCAGUUUUCACCCUCAGGAAUCUCCACAGCCCGUCCCCUCAGCCCCAGCUCGCCCGGAACACAGCCCACCGCAGCCCGACCCCCCGCCGCUUUCCCCGCUCACCCUCAGCAUCCACCAGCACCUCCUGCGCGACCUUCCCGCCUAAGUUCCCGCCGCGCUGCGAUUGGUCGGGAGUUGAGCCAAUAGCGGAGCCGUUGCUGGGCAGAACACGGCGGAGCGAAGAGGCGCGGCGCGAGGCACGCACGUGCGGCAGGGCCGACGCGCAUGCGCGAGCCGUCGCC
ensembl:lncRNA